rnacentral:rRNA from 1 species
UGCAAGUCGAGCGAGACCUUCGGGUCUAGCGGCGGACGGGUGAGUAACGCGUGGGAACGUGCCCUUUGCUACGGAAUAGUCCCGGGAAACUGGGUUUAAUACCGUAUGUGCCCUUCGGGGGAAAGAUUUAUCGGCAAAGGAUCGGCCCGCGUUGGAUUAGGUAGUUGGUGGGGUAAUGGCCUACCAAGCCGACGAUCCAUAGCUGGUUUGAGAGGAUGAUCAGCCACACUGGGACUGAGACACGGCCCAGACUCCUACGGGAGGCAGCAGUGGGGAAUCUUAGACAAUGGGGGCAACCCUGAUCUAGCCGUGCCGCGUGAGUGAUGAAGGCCUUAGGGUUGUAAAGCUCUUUCAGCUGGGAAGAUAAUGACGGUACCAGCAGAAGAAGCCCCGGCUAACUCCGUGCCAGCAGCCGCGGUAAUACGGAGGGGGCUAGCGUUGUUCGGAAUUACUGGGCGUAAAGCGCACGUAGGCGGACUGGAAAGUUGGGGGUGAAAUCCCGGGGCUCAACCUCGGAACUGCCUUCAAAACUAUCAGUCUGGAGUUCGAGAGAGGUGAGUGGAAUACCGAGUGUAGAGGUGAAAUUCGUAGAUAUUCGGUGGAACAC